rnacentral:rRNA from 1 species
AGCGAACGCUGGCGGCAGGCCUAACACAUGCAAGUCGAACGAACCUUUCGGGGUUAGUGGCGGACGGGUGAGUAACACGUGGGAACGUGCCUUUAGGUUCGGAAUAACUCAGGGAAACUUGUGCUAAUACCGAAUGUGCCCUUCGGGGGAAAGAUUAAUCGCCUUUAGAGCGGCCCGCGUCUGAUUAGCUAGUUGGUUGAGGUAAUGGCUCACCAAGGCGACGAUCAGUAGCUGGUCUGAGAGGAUGAUCAGCCACAUUGGGACUGAGACACGGCCCAAAGAGGCGGGGGAGGACGCGGUGAGGAGACGGGCGAAAUGCGCGAAAGCCGCACGCAGCCAGACGGGGUAAAAGAGGAUGGUGUUAGGUUGGUAAAAGUCUUCCACAGGGGAAGAUAAUGCCGGCACACAACGACGACCCCCCGGCCAACGUCGUGCCAGCCGACGGUGUAAGAGAGCGCAACGACACGCUAGAUC